UAAGGUUAAGUUAAUAAGGGCGCACGGUGGAUGCCUUGGCACUAGGAGCCGACGAAGGACGUGACAAACGACGAUAUGCCUUGGGUAGCUGUAAGUAAGCGAUGAUCCAGGGAUUUCCGAAUGGGGGAACCCAACAGGUAAUACCUGUUACCCACAUCUGUUAAGGAUGUGAGGAGGAAGACGCAGUGAACUGAAACAUCUAAGUAGCUGCAGGAAGAGAAAGCAAAAGCGAUUGCCUUAGUAGCGGCGAGCGAAACGGCAGAAGGGCAAACCGAAGAGUUUACUCUUCGGGGUUGUAGGACUGCAAUGUGGACUCAAAGAUUAUAGAAGAAUGAUUUGGGAAGAUCAGCCAAAGAGAGUAAUAGCCUCGUAUUUAAAAUAGUCUUUGUACCUAGCAGUAUCCUGAGUACGGCGGGACACGUGAAAUCCCGUCGGAAUCUGGGAGGACCAUCUCCCAACCCUAAAUACUCCCUAGUGACCGAUAGUGAACCAGUACCGUGAGGGAAAGGUGAAAAGCACCCCGGGAGGGGAGUGAAAUAGAACCUGAAACCGUGUGCCUACAACAAGUUCGAGCCCGUUAAUGGGUGAGAGCGUGCCUUUUGUAGAAUGAACCGGCGAGUUACGUUAUGAUGCGAGGUUAAGUUGAAGAGACGGAGCCGUAGGGAAACCGAGUCUGAAUAGGGCGCCUUAGUAUCAUGACGUAGACCCGAAACCAUGUGACCUACCCAUGAGCAGGUUGAAGGUGCGGUAAGACGCACUGGAGGACCGAACCAGGGCACGUUGAAAAGUGCUUGGAUGACUUGUGGGUAGCGGAGAAAUUCCAAACGAACUUGGAGAUAGCUGGUUCUCUCCGAAAUAGCUUUAGGGCUAGCGUCGACAUUAGAGAUUCUUGGAGGUAGAGCACUGUUUGGGUGAGGGGUCCAUCCCGGAUUACCAAUCUCAGAUAAACUCCGAAUGCCAAUGAAUUAUGGUCGGCAGUCAGACUGCGAGUGCUAAGAUCCGUAGUCGAAAGGGAAACAGCCCAGACCACCAGCUAAGGUCCCAAAAUAAUUGUUAAGUGGAAAAGGAUGUGGGGUUGCACAGACAACUAGGAUGUUAGCUUAGAAGCAGCUAUUCAUUCAAAGAGUGCGUAAUAGCUCACUAG
rnacentral:rRNA from 1 species